CCUACGGGUGGCAGCAGUGAGGAAUAUUGGUCAAUGGACGGAAGUCUGAACCAGCCAUGCCGCGUGCAGGAAGACGGCUCUAUGAGUUGUAAACUGCUUUUGGACAAGGGUAAACCUGAAUACGUGUAUUCAGCUGAAAGUACUGUACGAACAAGGAUCGGCUAACUCCGUGCCAGCAGCCGCGGUAAUAAGGAGGAUCCAAGCGUUAUCCGGAUUGAUUGGGUUUAAAGGGUGCGUAGGCGGAUUGGUAAGUUAGAGGUGAAAUGUCCGAGCUUAACUCGGGAACUGCCUCUAAUACUGUUGAUCUAGAGAGUAGGUGCGGUAGGCGGAAUGUAUGGUGUAGCGGUGAAAUGCUUAGAGAUCAGACAGAACACCGAGUGCGAAGGCAGCUUACUAAUCUAUAUCUGACGUUGAGGCACGAAAGCGUGGGGAGCAAACAGGAUUAGAUACCCCUGUAGUC
rnacentral:rRNA from 1 species